GGAGCGAUGGAGUGGUUUUAAGGCAGAAGUCUUGAAAACUUCCGUACCGGGAACGGUACCGUGGGCUCGAAUCCCACUCGCUCCGCCA
rnacentral:tRNA from 5 species